rnacentral:snRNA from 1 species
UCAACGCUACGCGUGGGUUUGU